CCUACGGGGGGCUGCAGUAGAGAAUCAUUCACAAUGGGGGAAACCCUGAUGGGGCGACGCCGCGUGGGGGAAUGAAGGGCUGCGGAGUGUAAACCCCUGUCAUGGGGGAGCAAAUUAAAAAGAUAGUACCACAAGAGGAAGAGACGGCUAACUCUGUGCCAGCAGCCGCGGUAAUACAGAGGUCUCAAGCGUUGUUCGGAAUAACUGGGCGUAAAGCGUGCGUAGGCUGUUUCGUAAUUCGUGUGUGAAAGGCGCGGGCUCAACCCGCGGACGGCACAUGAUACUGCGAGACUAGAGUAAUGGAGUGGUAACCGGAAUUCUCGGUGUAGCUGUGACCUGCGU
rnacentral:rRNA from 1 species